AUGAACGCUGGCGGCGUGCCUCAUACAUGCAAGUCGAGCGAACAGACGAGGAGCUUGCUCCUCUGACGUUAGCGGCGGACGGGUGAGUAACACGUGGAUAACCUACCUAUAAGACUGGGAUAACUUCGGGAAACCGGAGCUAAUACCGGAUAAUAUAUUGAACCGCAUGGUUCAAUAGUGAAAGACGGUUUUGCUGUCACUUAUAGAUGGAUCCGCGCCGCAUUAGCUAGUUGGUAAGGUAACGGCUUACCAAGGCAACGAUGCGUAGCCGACCUGAGAGGGUGAUCGGCCGCACUGGAACUGAGACACGGUCCAGACUCCUACGGGAGGCAGCAGUAGGGAAUCUUCCGCAAUGGGCGAAAGCCUGACGGAGCAACGCCGCGUGAGUGAUGAAGGUCUUCGGAUCGUAAAACUCUGUUAUUAGGGAAGAACAAAUGUGUAAGUAACUAUGCACGUCUUGACGGUACCUAAUCAGAAAGCCACGGCUAACUACGUG
rnacentral:rRNA from 1 species